rnacentral:rRNA from 1 species
GACGAACGCUGGCGGCGUGCUUAACACAUGCAAGUCGAACGAUGAAGCGGUGCUUGCACCGUGGAUUAGUGGCGAACGGGUGAGUAAUACGUGAGUGACCUACCUUUGACUCUGGGAUAAGCCUGGGAAACUGGGUCUAAUACCGGAUACGACCAAUCUCUGCAUGGGGUGUUGGUGGAAAGCGUUAUGGAGUGGUUUUAGAUGGGCUCACGGCCUAUCAGCUUGUUGGUGAGGUAAUGGCUUACCAAGGCGACGACGGGUAGCCGGCCUGAGAGGGUGACCGGCCACACUGGGACUGAGACACGGCCCAGACUCCUACGGGAGGCAGCAGUGGGGGAUAUUGCACAAUGGGCGCAAGCCUGAUGCAGCGACGCCGCGUGAGGGAUGACGGCCUUCGGGUUGUAAACCUCUGUUAGCAUCGAAGAAGCGAAAGUGACGGUAGGUGCAGAGAAAGCGCCCGCUAACUACGUGCCAGCAGCCGCGGUAAUACGUAAGGCGCGAGCGUUUGUCGGAAUUAUUGGGUGUAAAGAGCUUGGUAGCCGUUGGUCGCGUCUGCUGUGAAGGCCGGGGCUUAACUCCGGUUUUGCAGUGGGUACGGGCUAACUAGAGUGCAGUAGGGGAGACUGGAAUUCCUGGUGUAGCGGUGGAAUGCACAGAUAUCAGGAGGAACACCGAUGGCGAAGGCAGGUCUCUGGGCUGUAACUGACGCUGAGAAGCGAAAGCAUGGGGAGCGAACAGGAUUAGAUACCCUGGUAGUCCAUGCCGUAAACGUUGGGCACUAGGUGUGGGGGACAUUCCACGUUUUUCGCGCCGUAGCUAACGCAUUAAGUGCCCCGCCUGGGGAGUACGGCCGCAAGGCUAAGACUCAAAGGAAUUGACGGGGGCCCGCACAAGCGGCGGAGCAUGCGGAUUAAUUCGAUGCAACGCGAAGAACCUUACCAAGGCUUGACAUGCAUUAGAUCGCGUCAGAGAUGGCGUUUCCCUUCGGGGCUGGUGUACAGGUGGUGCAUGGUUGUCGUCAGCUCGUGUCGUGAGAUGUUGGGUUAAGUCCCGCAACGAGCGCAACCCUCGUUCUAUGUUGCCAGCGGUUCGGCCGGGGACUCAUAGGAGACUGCCGGGGUCAACUCGGAGGAAGGUGGGGAUGACGUCAAAUCAUCAUGCCCCUAUGUCUUGGGCUUCACGCAUGCUACAAUGGCCGGUACAGAGGGUUGCGAUACUGUGAGGUGGAGCUAAUCCCUUAAAGCCGGUCUCAGUUCGGAUUGGGGUCUGCAACUCGACCCCAUGAAGUCGGAGUCGCUAGUAAUCGCAGAUCAGCAACGCUGCGGUGAAUACGUUCCCGGGCCU